GACGAACGCUGGCGGCGUGCUUAACACAUGCAAGUCGAACGGAAAGGCCCUGCUUUUGUGGGGUGCUCGAGUGGCGAACGGGUGAGUAACACGUGAGUAACCUGCCCUUGACUUUGGGAUAACUUCAGGAAACUGGGGCUAAUACCGGAUAGGAGCUCCUGCUGCAUGGUGGGGGUUGGAAAGUUUCGGCGGUUGGGGAUGGACUCGCGGCUCAUCAGCUUGUUGGUGGGGUAGUGGCUUACCAAGGCUUUGACGGGUAGCCAGCCUGAGAGGGUGACCGGCCACAUUGGGACUGAGAUACGACCCAGACCCCGACGGGAGGCAGAAGUGUGGAAUGGUGCACAAUGGACGGAAGCCUGAUGCAGCAACGCCGCGUGCGGAAUGACGACCUUCCGGUUGUAAACCGCUUUCGCCUGUGACGGAGCGUGAGUGACGGUAAUGGGUAAAGAAACACCGGCUAACUACGUG
rnacentral:rRNA from 1 species